rnacentral:rRNA from 1 species
CGGCGGACGGGUGAGUAAUGCCUAGGAAUCUGCCUGGUAGUGGGGGACAACGUUUCGAAAGGAACGCUAAUACCGCAUACGUCCUACGGGAGAAAGCAGGGGACCUUCGGGCCUUGCGCUAUCAGAUGAGCCUAGGUCGGAUUAGCUAGUUGGUGGGGUAAUGGCUCACCAAGGCGACGAUCCGUAACUGGUCUGAGAGGAUGAUCAGUCACACUGGAACUGAGACACGGUCCAGACUCCUACGGGAGGCAGCAGUGGGGAAUAUUGGACAAUGGGCGAAAGCCUGAUCCAGCCAUGCCGCGUGUGUGAAGAAGGUCUUCGGAUUGUAAAGCACUUUAAGUUGGGAGGAAGGGCAGUAAGCUAAUACCUUGCUGUUUUGACGUUACCGACAGAAUAAGCACCGGCUAACUCUGUGCCAGCAGCCGCGGUAAUACAGAGGGUGCAAGCGUUAAUCGGAAUUACUGGGCGUAAAGCGCGCGUAGGUGGUUUGUUAAGUUGGAUGUGAAAGCCCCGGGCUCAACCUGGGAACUGCAUCCAAAACUGGCAAGCUAGAGUACGGUAGAGGGUGGUGGAAUUUCCUGUGUAGCGGUGAAAUGCGUAGAUAUAGGAAGGAACACCAGUGGCGAAGGCGACCACCUGGACUGAUACUGACACUGAGGUGCGAAAGCGUGGGGAGCAAACASGAUUAGAUACCCUGGUAGUCCACGCCGUAAACGAUGUCAACUAGCCGUUGGAAUCCUUGAGAUUUUAGUGGCGCAGCUAACGCAUUAAGUUGACCGCCUGGGGAGUACGGCCGCAAGGUUAAAACUCAAAUGAAUUGACGGGGGGCCCGCACAAGCGGUGGAGCAUGUGGUUUAAUUCGAAGCAACGCGAAGAACCUUACCAGGCCUUGACAUGCAGAGAACUUUCCAGAGAUGGAUUGGUGCCUUCGGGAACUCUGACACAGUGCUGCAUGGCUGUCGUCAGCUCGUGUCGUGAGAUGUUGGGUUAAGUCCCGUAACGAGCGCAACCCUUGUCCU